UCUAAACAUGGAUUAGGAAAGGCAGGUUGCUUUUGGUUUAGAUAGAGAUCUUCUCAAGACCACAAGGACACCAAUGAAUACGAACCAAGCCUGCAUGACGCCGGCCUCAGAGGUACCUGUAUAGAACAGUAUAGUUGGUAGAAGCCUAAAGCCAACAUGUAUUGGGACCCUCCUUGUUCCUGGAACAUGACAAAGGAGGUUCAGCCACCUAUAGUAAGACUUGGCUUCCUGGUGCUUAGAGACUAUAGAUAUUUGAAGAAAUUUAGGAGAAUGUAUCUGCUCUGUCAGUGGCCAUGUAUA
ensembl:lncRNA